rnacentral:rRNA from 1 species
AUUGAACGCUGGCGGAAUGCUUUACACAUGCAAGUCGAACGAUGAACCUUAGCUUGCUAAGGGGAUUAGUGGCGAACGGGUGAGUAAUAUAUCGGAACGUACCUUGUAAUGGGGGAUAACCAGUCGAAAGAUUAGCUAAUACCGCAUACGCCCUGAAGGGGAAAGUAGGGGAUCUUCGGACCUUACGUUAUAAGAGCGGCCGAUAUCUGAUUAGCUAGUUGGUGGGGUAAUGGCCUACCAAGGCGACGAUCAGUAGCUGGUCUGAGAGGACGACCAGCCACACUGGAACUGAGACACGGUCCAAACUCCUACGGGAGGCAGCAGUGGGGAAUUUUGGACAAUGGGCGCAAGCCUGAUCCAGCCAUUCCGCGUGAGUGAAGAAGGCCUUCGGGUUGUAAAGCUCUUUCGCAAGGGAAGAAAACUUACAUUCUAAUAAAGUGUGAGGCUGACGGUACCUUGAUAAGAAGCACCGGCUAACUACGUGCCAGCCGCCGCCGUAA